ensembl:snRNA U6 U6 spliceosomal RNA
UUGCUUCAGCAGCACAUUUACUAAAACUGGAACGAUACAGAGAAGAUUAGCAUGGCCCCUGCCCAAGGAUGACAUGCAAAUUCGUGAAGCGCUCCAUAUUUAA